CCUACGGGGGGCAGCAGUAGGGAAUAUUGCUCAAUGGGGGAAACCCUGAAGCAGCAACGCCGCGUGAAGGAUGAAGGUUUUCGGAUUGUAAACUCCUUUUGUUAGAGAAGAAAAUGACGGUACCUAACGAAUAAGCCCCGGCUAACUACGUGCCAGCAGCCGCGGUAAUACGGAGGGUGCAAGCGUUAUUCGGAAUCACUGGGCGUAAAGAGCGCGUAGGCGGGAUAGCAAGUCAGAUGUGAAAUCCUAUGGCUUAACCAUAGAACUGCAUUUGAAACUGUUAUUCUAGAGUAUGGGAGAGGUAGGUGGAAUUCUUGGUGUAGGGGUAAAAUGCGUAGAGAUCAAGAGGAAUACUCAUUGCGAAGGCGACCUGCUAGAACAUGACUGACGCUGAUGCGCGAAAGCGUGGGGAGCAAACAGGAUUAGAUACCCCAGUAGUC
rnacentral:rRNA from 1 species